rnacentral:rRNA from 1 species
GAUGACUCUCGGCAACGGAUAUCUCGGCUCUCGCAUCGAUGAAGAACGUAGCGAAAUGCGAUACUUGGUGUGAAUUGCAGAAUCCCGUGAACCAUCGAGUCUUUGAACGCAAGUUGCGCCCUAAGCCGUCAGGCGAGGGCACGUCUGCCUGGGUGUCACGC